GAUUUUACAUGUUAUCUGCUGAUGAUAUUUGCAUCAGGUGGUAAAUUGGUGUUUGCCUAAUGUGAGCCAACUGGCCACGUUGCAUUAUUUAUUAUGGGACGUGAUACGAGAAAAGUUUCGAGUGAAGUUCGGAAAUCUGAAAAUAUCCGUAAGUUGUAUUCAAAGAAACGAAAAAAUA